rnacentral:tRNA from 1 species
GGGGAUGUAGCUCAGCGGCAUGAGCGCCUGCCUUAUAAGCAUGAGGUCGUGAGUUCAAUCCCU